ACCGGGCAGAUGACGCUGGCGGCAGGCCUAACACAUGCAAGUCGAGCGGUAACAGGUCCAGCUUGCUGGACGCUGACCAGCGGGGGACGGGUGAGUAAUGCAUAGGAAUCUACCCAGUCGUGGGGGAUAACCUGGGGAAACCCAGGCUAAUACCGCAUACGUCCUACGGGAGAAAGCGGGGGCUCUUCGGACCUCGCGCGAUUGGAUGAGCCUAUGUCGGAUUAGCUGGUUGGUGGGGUAACGGCUCACCAAGGCGACGAUCCGUAGCUGGUCUGAGAGGAUGAUCAGCCACACUGGGACUGAGACACGGCCCAGACUCCUACGGGAGGCUGCAGUGGGGAAUAUUGGACAAUGGGCGAAAGCCUGAUCCAGCCAUGCCGCGUGUGUGAAGAAGGCUUUCGGGUUGUAAAGCACUUUCAGUGGGGAAGAAGGCUUGCCGGCCAAUACCCGGCAAGAGCGACAUCACCCACAGAAGAAGCACCGGCUAACUCCGUGCCAGCAGCCGCGG
rnacentral:rRNA from 1 species